GCCUCUAUAGUUAAAUGGAUAUAACAAACCCCUCCUAAGGGUUAGUUGUAGGUUCGAUUCCUACUAGGGGUGCCA
rnacentral:tRNA from 1 species